CUACGGGAGGCAGCAGUAGGGAAUCUUCCACAAUGGGCGAAAGCCUGAUGGAGCAACGCCGCGUGGGUGAAGAAGGUCUUCGGAUCGUAAAACCCUGUUGUUAGAGAAGAAAGUGCGUGAGAGUAACUGUUCACGUUUCGACGGUAUCUAACCAGAAAGCCACGGCUAACUACGUGCCAGCAGCCGCGGUAAUACGUAGGUGGCAAGCGUUAUCCGGAUUUAUUGGGCGUAAAGGGAACGCAGGCGGUCUUUUAAGUCUGAUGUGAAAGCCUUCGGCUUAACCGUAGUAGUGCAUUGGAAACUGG
rnacentral:rRNA from 1 species